rnacentral:rRNA from 1 species
CCUCUCGCGUCAGGAUAUGCCUAGGUGGGAUUAGCUAGUUGGUGAGGUAAGGGCUCACCAAGGCGACGAUCCCUAGCUGGUCUGAGAGGAUGAUCAGCCACACUGGAACUGAGACACGGUCCAGACUCCUACGGGAGGCAGCAGUGGGGAAUAUUGCACAAUGGGCGCAAGCCUGAUGCAGCCAUGCCGCGUGUGUGAAGAAGGCCUUCGGGUUGUAAAGCACUUUCAGUCGUGAGGAAGGUAGUGUAGUUAAUAGCUGCAUUAUUUGACGUUAGCGACAGAAGAAGCACCGGCUAACUCCGUGCCAGCAGCCGCGGUAAUACGGAGGGUGCGAGCGUUAAUCGGAAUUACUGGGCGUAAAGCGCAUGCAGGUGGUUUGUUAAGUCAGAUGUGAAAGCCCGGGGCUCAACCUCGGAAUAGCAUUUGAAACUGGCAGACUAGAGUACUGUAGAGGGGGGUAGAAUUUCAGGUGUAGCGGUGAAAUGCGUAGAGAUCUGAAGGAAUACCGGUGGCGAAGGCGGCCCCCUGGACAGAUACUGACACUCAGAUGCGAAAGCGUGGGGAGCAAACAGGAUUAGAUACCCUGGUAGUCCACGCCGUAAACGAUGUCUACUUGGAGGUUGUGGCCUUGAGCCGUGGCUUUCGGAGCUAACGCGUUAAGUAGACCGCCUGGGGAGUACGGUCGCAAGAUUAAAACUCAAAUGAAUUGACGGGGGCCCGCACAAGCGGUGGAGCAUGUGGUUUAAUUCGAUGCAACGCGAAGAACCUUACCUACUCUUGACAUCCAGAGAACUUUCCAGAGAUGGAUUGGUGCCUUCGGGAACUCU